ACGGAGGCGUAGCGUAAAAGCGAUACGCUGCGCCGCCGUAUCAGUGCGCGCCCCUACCUGAAUCUGGGCCAUUGUCAGCUUAGAUUACUUGUAGCAAUAUCUCAUGAACAAAAUGAAGGAAAAGUAAACUGUUUUCCAUUUGAGGACCUUGAGUAAGCCCCAAAACAAUGUCAUCUACUUAGGGCAUACACCAUACACCCUGAUCCCACUAUGCUUCUAUUUUCUGCAAAUCAUGGCUGUCAAAAUGACAACCAGGACUUCCUUUGUGCCGCAACAGCAGAUGCAGAUGCUGCUGUGUCGACGUUGGCUUCUAAAGAGUGUUCACAAGUUCAAUGUGAUUUAUGACACAACAUCAUUUAUUCAUACUCUGUUUUACUCAUGUGAAGAAGAAUAAAGUAAUUAAAGACUAAUCAACAGUUGUCAUGAUGAACAGGUGUGACCAGAACUGUGUGAACUGCGACAGAGGAAACCAAACGUAUAUAAAGUGAAUAAUAAUUAAGUUUAUUAACGAUAAGUGAUAUAAAUAUACAAACACCUCCAACACUAAACAGUGAACAACCAACCAGACAGUGACCCACACAUAACAAACAACUAUAUACAAUGAAAGGGGAGUACCAGAAUCAUAAACGUAGCCAGUCCAGGAGAUCAGCAGAUGGGGGCAAGGAACAGGACAGGACAGGGAGAAGGUGGACGGGAUCAGGCUGCAGGGCAGGGAUGCAGGCUAACAGGAGGGAUGGGAUCAGAAUCAGGUUCAGGUAACAGGAGGAUCAGGAUCAGAUUCAUACGAUAACAGGUUCAGGUCAGGGCGCAAGGAAGAUACCAGGGCAAGUGUGUGAAUGCUUGCUGAGUAUAAAUACACAGCCUCAGUUGAAGCUUGAUCGCAGGGGAUAUUGUUGGCUCCAUACUGGCAGGAGACACCCGCUGGUGGACAUUGGUACUGCGGCCCAAGGAUCGAACAGUGCCACCAGCAGGUGAAACCUUUCCUGACACCAGUAUUGCCUUUGGUCUCCCUGAAGCUGAUAUUUCCCCAAUAAUGACUUACCAACCAUGUCUUGUUCUGCACUGUGUCUCUAAGUGGAGCCAGACAUUUUGGUAGUUGUGGGGUUUUAAUUCCUCACGUCAGAGCAUCCAGCAAGGAGAACAGUGAGAAACACAGUAGUGACAUCACCAAAUCAGAUCAAAUUAAAAUCUGCUCCUUUUACCUUCCAAAACCUAUAAAAAUAAAAAAAUAACUGAUAAUACCUUUUCCUUUGUACAAUUCUUUGACUAAAAGUCAAGUGUGAGUUGGAGAAGAAUACAGCAAAGCCGGUUUUGUGUGUUGACACACUAUCGCUCGUUUGACCCAUUUAGUAUGAACUGAAUAGGGUCCAUACGUUCUGGUAAGCCUUCUUAUAUUCCAUUCGGUGGCAGGAGUCUUCCUUUUUUUCACAGUGGUGAUUAUUUUUGUUUUACUUCUGGGUGACAGAUCAUCAUUAUCUGUAAUCACAAAUGUAUGGACUUAUUUAUAUGAACUAUAUAACAUUUCUAUUAUUGUGUUAUUCACUAUAUAAAAGUUUUUUUAUUGUGUCAUUCACCUUUUCACAAUAUUGUUUAGUUAAUAGUUUGCCAUAUUUAUUGAUUGUAUAUUUCUAUGUUUAGCACUGCACUUGUUAUAUUUAUAAUUUUUGCACAAGUUUGUCUCUUGUAGUGCUUUAAUUUUAGUUUUGAAUGCUAAGCGCGGUUUUACACUAUAUACUAUGAAAAGCAGUUGACUUGCACUGCGCAUUAAAAGUAUACACUGCGGGGGUGUCAAACUCAAUUUCAUCACAGGCCUCAUCAGCAGUCUGUAAGAAUUUAUACAUGUGUCUACCCUUUAUUAUAUUAAAUGAUUGCCUCUG